CCUACGGGAGGCAGCAGUAGGGAAUCUUCCACAAUGGGCGAAAGCCUUAUGGAGCACCGCCGCGUGGGUGAAGAAGGUCUUCGGAUCGUAAAACUCUGUUGUUAGAGAAGAAAGUGCGUGAGAGUAACUGUUCACGUUUAGACGGUAUCUAACCAGAAAGCCACGGCUAACUACGUGCCAGCAGCCGCGGUAAUACGUAGGUGGAAAGUGUUAUCCGGAUUUAUUGGGCGUAAAGGGAACGCAGGCGGUCUUUUAAGUUUGAUGUGAAAGCCUUCGGCUUAACCGGAGUAGUGCAUUGGAAACUGGGAGACUUGAGUGCAGAAGAGGAGAGUGGAACUCGAGGUGUAGCGGUGAAAUGCGUAGAUAUAUGGAAGAACACCAGUGGCGAAAGCAGCUCUCUGGUCUGUAACUGACGCUGAGGUUCGAAAGCGUGGGUAGCAAACAGGAUUAGAUACCCCUGUAGUC
rnacentral:rRNA from 1 species